GCUCAAGUCUACACUAGACUAACGCGCGGACGGCUUUCUCGAAUAACUACGGCGCAUCUAUGAGACGAAAAGACAACAGACGUGUGUCUAUGUCUACGGGCUGUCUGGGUAAGAGCCACACCCGGUGGCCCUUCCCGUCUCCCGCUCAAUAUCUCUUAUAGUCGCCAAAAGAUCACUAUAGGCGCCUAAUAAACUCUCACGUAGCAGCAGCCACAUCAGU
ensembl:ncRNA F57G12.3 ncRNA